CUUAUUUCUUGCAGAAACAUGUGAUGAAGGUGAACAUACACUGACGGGUGCAAGCACAAGGUCAAGAAGCUUCUUCGGAAGAUCGAAGGAGAGUGACUUAUGGAUGGCAUCUCAUGGCUGUUGUCCAAGCUACCUCGCAGUGGAUUGGAUCUAAGGCUACCCGCAGUGAGCAACGGUACGCGAAGCGCUACUGAGAUGGAGUCGUUAUACAGUAGAUAUUUUGCUGCAGCGGACAACUCUCCCAGCUACAGUAAAAUAGGGACGGGCUCAAAAAACUCCAUUUACAGAGUUCCUUUCCCCUUCACUCCAUAUCUCUCUCCUCUCUGUUUUCCCAACUAUCGCACGCGCGCGCCGGUCUGUGCGCCGACGUCCUCCUCCGUCGCCCGCGGCACAAGAGGCAAGGAGUUGCUCCGAGCACGUAGGUGCAGCAGCCCAGCUGUACUUGCUUUUGUAAAAAAAAAAAAAAUCUUGCAACAGCACCAUACGACACCUUGCAGCAGCACCGUAGCACCGUUCGGCAACAAGUGCAAGCGGCAUGUGCAAGAACGUGAACUCUAUGGUGGUAAUUGGGUGGGGAAGGGAAGAGAAUGAAAAAGGAAUGAUAUAAUAUGUGGUAGUUGGUAUAGAGUUGAGAUAUGGAGUAAAUAUGACUGCGGAGAAUUGUGGUAUAGGGUAAAUAAUUUUGCUGACAAGGACAUAAUAUUCUUUUUAGGCUAGAAAUUUAGAGUUGAAUGAGUGCGGAUAGCCUAAGAUCUCCCAAUGCUUGUUUUGCAGCAUGUAUCAGCUGGAUGCAUGUUAGGAUGCCCAGAAAUCUCAGAAUAAAAAUGAUCUUUGAUGUGUUCGUUACGAGAUCCAUUUUAUUCUGAGAUUCUCCUACUCCAACUUCUUUGAUGAGAGGCAGUGGCUGGAUCAUGAGAUUGGAUUAAUUUCUUUGGAAGGGUUUCAUUCCUGGUUUAUUACCUCGAGUUGGCAUAGAGUUCAGUACCAUAGAAGUGAUGUGGAACGGAUUGAUUUUGCUGAUUUUUAAUUUUUCUAUUUUACUUGUGUUUUGAUGAUGACCAUGAGCCUGUGUGGCUGCAUGUAUAUGUAUCUCUCAUAAAAUACUUUGUAUCUGUACUUGAAGUGAUCUGGAACGGAUUGAUUUUGCUGAUUUUUAAUUUUCUAUUGUACUUGUGUUUUGAUGAUGACCAAAGCAGCCGUCUGGCU